GAGAAGUUUAGUUGGGUGGCAAGACAGAUCAGAAUCAAGGCCAGAUUUCCAAUUAGGCAAAAUAGCCAUGGGCCUAGGGAUACUGGUGUUCUAGGGGCACCUAAAAGAUAAAACUGGGUUAAAAGUAUUUUUUUUUUUUUAUGGAAAACACAAAGGUCAGCUAUAGGCAGGGGGAUCAUUGAAGAUGCUGUGCCUGGGGAUGCGUAAGAUGUAAAUCUGGCCCUGAUCGGACUUACUCCAUGUUAAGGCUGUUAACAGUGCUUGAAGAGUUCACACUUGAUAACUGGUGAAAUCUAAAUAUAGAACUCUCAGCCAGUUUCGGGUUUGUGCCCUGCUUCUUAACAGUCUGCCCUGAGGCUGGUACUCAUGGUCCUGAACCAUUACAGGACAACUUGACAGUAUAGAACCAGAGUAUCCCUCUAGUUCUACCCUGAGCCCAGCACUGCUCCUCUAUCACCCAAGAGGCAUACUUAUUCGAAAACUCAAAAACUGCACUCCAUGAGGCAGUACCUUGAGGGAGCCCUUUCCUGUGUGUGUGUGUAGAGAGGUGAGGUAUUGAAAGCAUUUUUCUACUAUCUAGCAUAAUUUUAAGAAACUGGAUAUAAAAAACUAUAUUAAAAAUGUUACAAAAUGAAGGAGCACUGAAGUUAAGAAAUGCCAAAAUUAAAGUUUCCAAAUAAUGCAGGAUAUGCAUUCUGGUCCAGAUUCAGACAGAACUGUAGAAAAUAAAUUAUACGAACUGAACAGUUGUUUCAGGAACUAUUUAUAGAAAAAAUGGACAAUUGCCUGAAACUAUGCAGAAGUUAGGCAAUGUUAGACAAUUAAAUUAUGCAUCUCAGUGCAUUAAUAGUGCUAAGCAUUUCCAUUUUAGAUCACUAAUUUCCAAAGACGUGGAAGAGCCACAUAUUCACUAACCCACACUAUUCAAUAGAGGUUUGAAUAAAAAAAAGAUUUUAAUCCUACUUUAAAAAAAAAACAAAAUACCAAAAACACAUAGAACACCUUUUUCCUCUCUUUUUACCCACAGAAAUUAAAUCAAUGCGAGUCAAAAAAUGACUUCCCUAAGGCAAUAAUGGGGUACUUUACUAAAGUUGAAUGCAUUUUUAAAAAUUAUGUGUUCAGAGUUUUCAAACUUGUAUUUCUUUUUGGGUGGAAAUGUGUAGACAAUCUGAAAAAAAUGCAUAGUGUUGCUUAGGCAGAUUUUACACUUCUGUAACUUUUUCAAAUUAAAAGUGUCAGGAUUCAGUUUUGGGAAAUAAUGUCAAACUUAAUAUGCAAACCAAAAAUUAACUAUUGCUUCUACCUGGUCAUAGUCUAAAUUCCUUUGUAGGCUAACUCACACUAACCAAUGCAAAUGAUUUUUUAAAAAAGCUUACGGACACCCCCCGAUUUACGCAAUCGUUCCAUUCUGAAAAGCCUUGCAUAACUCAAAUUUUGUAUAAGUAGGAAACAUAUACCUGCACGUUAUGCAAAAAUUUCCACAACUCAGAAAUCCUAUUUCUGGCUUAUGGAACUUUUCCUGUAAGUGUGAAUUUGCUUAAGUCAGGUCUGGCGUAACCCGGGGAGCGUCUGUAUUUGAGUUCAGAUAUUUUAACUUUUAAUUUUAUACCAAACAAUAUUUUAAGAAAUAAAAGUAUUGCAAGCAAAUUAAGACUAGACUUUUAAAAUAAAUUUAUUAGAUCACAUAAAUAUUGUUUGCAACUGAUACAUUAUCUGUUCCCUUUUUGAUGUCCUUGGCACAAAAUAUAGCUCUUACCAUAAUAUUUACAAAACUGGUGUAAACAUCCAUGGAAAAUAAAA